rnacentral:rRNA from 1 species
UACGGGAGGCAGCAGUGGGGGAUAUUGCACAAUGGGGGAAACCCUGAUGCAGCGACGCCGCGUGAGUGAAGAAGUAUUUCGGUAUGUAAAGCUCUAUCAGCAGGGAAGAUAAUGACGGUACCUGACUAAGAAGCACCGGCUAAAUACGUGCCAGCAGCCGCGGUAAU